GGAUCAGAGGACAAGUGGGAAUUCAGAUCAGGGUACUUCAAUCAGAAAAAAAGAACACGAAUUGUAAAGAUGCAGAAGCCAACUUGGAACAAAAAAAAUCAUAUUUUGACAAGUUUAAGCAACAAUCCAACAUCAAAAUGCAGUUGCAGCCGAGACUAUUUUCGAUUAAAUAACAUGGUCACAGUUUGUGGGUUUGAAAAAAAAAGAUCUGCGCCUCGUG